rnacentral:tRNA from 1 species
CCCUGAGUGGUACAAAUGGUUAAUGUGUUCAACUGCUACCUGAAAAGUUGGAGGUUUGAGUCCUCCCAGAGGUG